UACGUAGGGUGCAAGCGUUGUCCGGAAUUAUUGGGCGUAAAGAGCUCGUAGGCGGUUUGUCGCGUCUGCUGUGAAACGCGAGGCUCAACCUCGCGCCUGCAGUGGGUACGGGCAGACUAGAGUGCGGUAGGGAGACUGGAAUUCCUGGUGUAGCGGUGAAAUGCGCAGAUAUCAGGAGGAACACCGGUGGCGAAGGCGGGUCUCUGGGCCGUAACUGAACGCUGAGACUCGAAAGCGUGGGAG
rnacentral:rRNA from 1 species